AGAGUUUGAUCCUGGCUCAGAUUGAACGCUGGCGGCAUGCCUUACACAUGCAAGUCGAACGGCAGCACGGGGGCAACCCUGGUGGCGAGUGGCGAACGGGUGAGUAAUAUAUCGGAACGUGCCCUGGAGUGGGGGAUAACUAGUCGAAAGAUUAGCUAAUACCGCAUACGAUCUACGGAUGAAAGUGGGGGACCCGCAAGGGCCUCAUGCUCCUGGAGCGGCCGAUAUCUGAUUAGCUAGUUGGUGAGGUAAAGGCUCACCAAGGCAUCGAUCAGUAGCUGGUCUGAGAGGACGACCAGCCACACUGGGACUGAGACACGGCCCAGACUCCUACGGGAGGCAGCAGUGGGGAAUUUUGGACAAUGGGCGCAAGCCUGAUCCAGCAAUGCCGCGUGAGUGAAGAAGGCCUUCGGGUUGUAAAAGCUCUUUUUGUCAGGGAAGAAACGGUGAGGGGCGAUAUACCCCUUUGCUAAUGACGGGUACCUGAAGAAUUAAGCACCCGGGCUUAACUACGUGUCCAGCAGCCCGCGGUAAAUACG
rnacentral:rRNA from 1 species